rnacentral:tRNA from 1 species
GGGUGUGUAGCUCAGCUGGUUAGAGCACUUCACUGAUAAUGAAGAGGUCGGAGGUUCGAGUCCUCCCACACCCA